UCUUUAAGAUAAUUAGCUAGGCAAUCAAUUAGUCAUUGUACACCUGUGGUUUCCUAAAUUGAACUACCCUUCCACUCCACACACUCUGUCAAUUAGGCCAGUGUGUAUGGAUGGACUUCUAAUCGAAACAAUGUUUAUGAAAUGACCAUCAUGUGAAAUGAUAAUGAAACAUGCUAUCAGCCCUGGUUAGAAAUCAAUGCAAAUGUGUAAUGUGGGGGAAUUCUCAGAGAGAAACUGUACAACCAUCAUGGCUCCAGAGAUGAAUCUGGGCUGAUCUGUCAAACUGCGGUUUAGGAGACACUCGCCAAUCGAACGCAGUGAGAACCUUGAUGACUCUACUACCUGUGGAUGAGGAUGCGGUCUACACUAUCUCUCUGUGGAGGAGAAGGGGAGGGCAGGGGCCUGAGAGCCCGGGUAGGCAGGAUGAAGAGACUGCUGUGCCUUCGACACACCCACCGUGUGGAUGUCCUGUCGGACAUGGAGCCAGGGCUCUGGCUGAGGCGCUUCCAGCUGCUGGACACAGACGUCACUGAGGACCCAGUGCAGGAGUGGGGGAG